GAUCCAGUGAUAUUGCGUGAGUGAGGAAAGCAACAAAAAGAUUCGGGAGUAACUAACCCGAAUCGGCUAGUAAAACUCGUUCGUUAGGGAGGAAAAUGACUGUACCUAAAGAAGAAGCUCCGGCCAACCUCGUGCCAGCCGCCGCGGUAAUGCGGGGGGAGCGAGCGUUAUCCAUCAUGAUUGGGCGUAAAGUGUCUUAGAAAGUUAGAGGCGGCAUCGACUACUUAAUGUUAAAUCUCAAGAUUAUCUCUUGAAUCCGCAUUAAAGUAAAGCUUUGCUUUGAGUACGUUAGAGGUAAACAGAAUUUUGCGAGGCGGGGUAGAAACCAUAUUCGCAGAGGAAUGCCAGUGGCGAAAGCGGUUUUCUGGGACGUACUGACGCUGAACGACGAAAGUAUGGGGAUCAAAUGGAAUUAGAUACUCCAGUAGUCCAUACUGUCAAAGAUGAAUAUUAACUUUAAGACGAAUCUUUCUCUUAUUGUAAAGCUAACGCGUUAAAUAUUCCGCCUGGGAAGUACGAUGUCAACAUUGGAACUCAAAGGAAUUGACGGGGAGUCAUACAAGUGGUGGAGUAUGUGGUUUAAUUCGAUAACACGCGCGAAAUCUUACCAGUUCUUGAAUAUUUUUCCAAAACAAAUACGAGAGUAUUUCGUUGGUUAAGUGAAUCAAGAUAUUCAUAAACAGAAAUUUACAGGUGCUGCAUGGCUGUCGUCAGCUCGUGUCGUGAGAUGUUUGGUUCAGUCCAAAAACGAGCGAAACUCUUAUUUUAUAUUGGUAGUGAUUUAGGGUCUCCUUAAUUACCCACUUAUAAAAUACUGCCGUACUUACGUCGGAGGAAGGAGAGAACGAUGUCAAGCCUUUAUGGCCUUUAUGAACUGGGCUACACACAUGCUACAAUGGUAAUUACAAAAAGUCUUGCAAAAGAGUGAUCUUGAGCUAAUCUUUAAAAAUUACCACAUUCCGAUUAUAGGCUGCAACUCGCCUAUAUGAAGCCGGAAUCACAAGUAAUCGCAAAUUAGUACGUUGUGGUGAAUCUGUACCUGGCUCUUGCACACACCGCCCGWYACAUGC
rnacentral:rRNA from 1 species